UGAGAAUGGUACUGUUGAAUGAAUAGUAAUACAGUGACCUGCCUGUUUUGCCCCUGCAUUCUCUUUGGCUUUUUACUUGAUUGCCCCGGCAGGUGUACGUCUUCAUUGGCGUCCGAGGCUUUCCGCGUGGCUCUGUUUCCUUGCUCCACGAAGAGAGAACAAUCCAAAGAGAAAUCAAGAACGAUCGAGACCUCGAGGGAGUCCAGGUGUGUUUCUUUGCUUUGCCCGAAGAGAGAGAGAGAGAGAGACAUGGAGAUAGAGAGAGGUGAUAUUCAUCUCAGCACGAGGUAUGACAAAAUAGCGAGAUAGCCCGCGCGAUGCCAAGAAGAUUGAAUGCUCGCUAAAAGAGUGAAACGACAGUCUAAAGCAACUAGCAGCUGAGAGAAAAAGAGAGAGAGCUAGAGGCUGCGUAUCGGUGCAACCCAACUACAGCCCAUUGUUCGAGUUUUCUCUUGCAUGUGGUCCGAUUUGUCUUCCCCUGUAUUUGCCGCUGUUUCCGGUUAGAAUUUUGGUUUGGCCUAAAAGAGAUUGUUCGAUCUAUAGUUGAAAUCAAUUCCCUCAAGGUAACGUCAAACCCAUCCAUGGUCUUCAGCUGGUAAUUUCAAUUUGGUUUGUAAAGUUGGGCUAUUGAUGGGUAAUUUCAUAUGAGAACUUGAAGAGCAGGAGGUAGAAUACGUAUUUAGAAAACAGGGAAGGGUAGGAGACUUGGAAAGGGAGGAUUUCAAACAUCUGCUCUUCUUUUCAAGUCAUUGUUUUUCAUAUAUCAACAGAGGGAAAAGGGUUUCUUAAUGUUAUUUGAUUUCUUUUUCUUUCUUUUUUUUCCUUUAAAAAAAAAAAAAAUAUAUAUAUAUAUAUAUAUAUAUAUAUAUUAUAAAACACACAAUUAUGACAUGAUUACUGUAGGCAUUUAAGUGAUGUCAAGAAUUAAAUGUUAUUAGCUGCUUUUAACACAGUUGUGCUGGUGUGGUUUUCUGGGAGUAUGUAAUUGAAAGUGAUGUCAGUAUUACUUGCCAGCGCUAUUUUGGAGAUGGCCAAAGCAAUUACUGAUAUGAUCACCAGUAAUUGAAUCAGUCUCAUAGUCAUAGCCGUGGUGGGUGGUUUAUAAGGGUUAGAAAUAUAGUACUGCUAGCUGCUGCGCGCUGUUGUAUCUGGUUUUGUAUGGUUUAACUUGCUAGGAUGGUAUUUAUAUAUGUCCAAAAGGAUCAAGCUGAGCAGUUGCUAUUAUUAAAGUUGGUGGCUGCUGGGUGAUGAAAUUUUGUAUGUUGUUUCUUUGUUUUAUUCAUUUGGCCUAAUUUAGAAGGCACAACUUCUCACAGGUACAUUCACCGGAGUAGAAAGACCGUGUCAAACAGUAAAACAUUCAAGAUAUACAAAUAUACCAAUAUAUAGCAAGACAUAGUCUGAAAUCUAGAUGAUGAUGUCACGUGCAUGUCCCUUACUGUUUUGCUGAGGUCUUGAAGUGUGUCUUCAUUUGUUGAGUGAGUCUUGGGGGUUUAGAUAAAGCCUUUGCUUCUGUUCAUGCAAUAAGUCAGUUCCAGUCUUCUUCCAAAUUAAUAGAUUUUAGGAUGGCAUUGUCAAGCUAUAAUUCAUGUUAUUUCUUAUCCUUCAUUUGGUUUGGAGGACCUCCAUCAAUACUAUGUUUUUGAAAACGUGAGCACAGUUACUUUCUCCUAUAAUAUUUACACUAAUCAUAAAAUUUAAGAUAUACAACUUUCAUGUUACUUUCUUCUAUUUCUAUUGCAGGGGCAACAUCAUGCUCAAUAUGAUGUAAACCCAUCAAAAUACAAUUGCUUAAAGAAACUACUUUGAGUUUCUUGAAAGUAGUUUCUUGAAUUUUGCCCUAAAUUAAAUUUUUUUGCACUUUUGCAAAUAGGGUCAAGCUGUUUAAUUUUUUUGAUUGAUUAUUCGCAGGUACCAGCUCUGGAGCACAAUGUAAAGAUACAAGAAUGUACUAGCAGUGGCUUUUUAUCUGCAAAAUUAGAUAAAGUAUGAUCAAUACUGCGAGCAGCCAAUAUAAGGACACUACAUUCCCCCAACGUUGCAAGAUAAUUAGUUUUGGGCGUGGAUUCAGAUUUUCUUCUGUCUUCAUUGGCUCUGAAGAGUUUCAAUUGAUCUAAUUUCUGUUUGUUAUAGUUGCCUUGCAGUUGGCUGCUCGCUACUGUUCGGUUGGAACGCUAGGAUUCUUUAGCUGUUCUUAUUCCAAUGGCAAUGCUAAUGUGAAUGGAAAUGGGAAGGGAGUAAAUGGAAAUGAAGUGAAGAGAGAAAGCCAUCGUGAAGAGCUGCUGGGAUGAGGAAGAAAUUGAAGAAAACUUAAGCUGGAGCUUUGCUCUUAAUAAGUAUAGUUACUUUAUAUACAUUUCCAGUAGAAUGAGUUACAUUAGUUUAGUAGUCUUGGCUUAAAAGUUCCCUUCUUUUUUCUUUCGGGGUUUCCUAUUUCAUUGUACAUAUAGCUGACUUAUGGCCCUAUUUUAAGAUCUGAGAUUGAAAGUUCCUUAGUUCACAGAUUGAAUGAAUUUUUCAAAAGUGAAACAUUC